UUCCCAAAACCCUUUCUCAUUUUCAGCUACCCUUCUCUCUCCCCCUCGCUUCAUUUUCAGAAACCCUCGCCCCCUCUAAUCAAAUCCUUAACAGACCUACCAGGCAAGGGAUGAAAAUGAGCGGCCCACUCUAACACAAAACCUUUAAUUUGAUAAAGUAGCAGAAAUUUGGUAGAAUCGGUGUAUUUUGAAGAAGGCUAUAACACUCUUUAUUAAAAUCGAGAUAACUCCUGGGGACCUUCAGAGAAGAUGUAAUUGUCAUUGGCUGCUUUUCCUCUUUCUGCUUUGCGUUGUGUUUGAAUCAGUCUCAAGAAAAAAAUUAAACUAGCAUUGAGCCAAAGCACCGUGGAUGAGUCUGAAAUUUUUGCCAAAUGAUGCCGUUGGUAAGAUGCUGGAAAAAGAGCACUCUGGAAGGGUAAAGUGCUUGGGAUUAGGAGUUGUUCCUGGCAGAGCUUUUAAACAAACAAGACCUCGGUAUAGUAAUUUGAAUGCUUCAAGUUAUAAUAACGGUUCAUGUUCUUCCCAAUGCCAAGAGAAGUAAAUCAAAUAUUGAAUGCUCACAAUCAAAGCCAAGAGAACUACAUAGAAAUGAUGAAUGUUAAUACCCAUGAAUGCUUUUAAGGCGUAUAUGAUAAUGAAAGAAGGGAGGAUACCCGAAGAAUUUGCAGGGAUCUUUGUUUCUCCUCCUCAUUCAACACCAAGUGAUGUGGCUAGCAGAUCCAUUUCACCCAUGGAUGUAAGAAGAUCGUCUGGUGGAAAUAAUGCUAACGACAAUCAUUGAAGUUGCUUGCAAAUGUAUCGUACUCGAUUGAAUGGUCAUGGUAGAUCUUUUGUCCAUUAUAGUUGUAGUAGAUGUUCUAUUUAAAGUUAGUUUUAAGACUAACUAUAAUACUGA